GACGAACGCUGGCGGCGUGCUUAACACAUGCAAGUCGAACGGUGAAGCGCCUUCCUUUUUGGUGGGUGUGGAUGAGUGGCGAACGGGUGAGUAACACGUGAGUAACCUGCCCCCUUCUUCUGGAUAACCGCAUGAAAGCGUGGCUAAUACGGGAUAUUCUGGGUCUGUCGCAUGAUGGGUCUGUGAAAGAUAUUGUUUCGGUGGGGGAUGGGCUCGCGGCCUAUCAGCUUGUUGGUGGGGUGAUGGCCUACCAAGGCGGUGACGGGUAGCCGGCCUGAGAGGGUGGACGGUCACACUGGGACUGAGACACGGCCCAGACUCCUACGGGAGGCAGCAGUGGGGAAUAUUGCACAAUGGGCGCAAGCCUGAUGCAGCGACGCCGCGUGAGGGAUGGAGGCCUUCGGGUUGUGAACCUCUUUCGCCAGUGAAGCAGGCCUGCCUCGUUUGUGGGUGGGUUGACGGUAGCUGGAUAAGAAGCGCCGGCUAACUACGUG
rnacentral:rRNA from 1 species